rnacentral:rRNA from 1 species
CCUACGGGUGGCAGCAGUGGGGAAUAUUGCACAAUGGGGGAAACCCUGAUGCAGCGACGCCGCGGGAGUGAAGAAGUAAAUCGUUAUGUAAAGCUCUAUCAGCAGGGAAGAAAAUGACGGUACCUGAGUAAGAAGCCCAGGCUAACUACGUGCCAGCAGCCGCGGUAAUACGUAGGGGGCAAGCGUUAUCCGGAUUUACUGGGUGGAAAGGGAGCGUAGACGGCAGUGCAAGUCUGGAGUGAAAGGCGGGGGCUCAACCCCCGGACUGCUCUGGAAACUGUACGGCUGGAGUGCAGGAGAGGUAAGUGGAAUUCCUAGUGUAGCGGUGAAAUGCGUAGAUAUUAGGAGGAACACCAGUGGCGAAGGCGGCUUACUGGACUGUAACUGACGUUGAGGCUCGAAAGCGUGGGGAGCAAACAGGAUUAGAUACCCCUGUAGUC